rnacentral:lncRNA from 1 species
CUAACGUGAAUCAAUUGCUACCUAAUUAAACCAAGUUCUUGCAAGUUUGUAAUACAAACUUUUUAAUGAGACGAUUGUUGGGUAUUUAGAAAUAUCUUAAAGAGCCUAACUUAUUUUUUAAAAUACAUUAUUUAACAAAUAUCAUUGAAACUACAGAAUAAGGCUUCUACAACCUUAAUCUAUUUUUAAUAAGCAUACGAGUGUGGAAAUUUACAACUAAACUACUACAUAAUGUUGUUCAAUUAUACAUAACCCAUAUUUGCAUGAUUCUAAUAAGAGACACGAGACAUACUAUAUAUACAACCCAAUAUCCCCUAUAUCAAACUAAAAUAAAUUUAAAUAAACAACUUCAAUUUCUUCAUUUCUUAUUCAUGCUUCGAUUUUCAUUCUACAAGAACCAGUGUAUUAAUUGUGUACCUGUUAUUUGGAAAAGCAAAGAAGAGAAGUAGAGUCAGUAGUGCAGUAGCACACAGCACAACAGUAGUAGUAUAGCAGGUUCAGUAACAAGUAGAACAACCAGUAAACCCAAACAAGAAUAACCCAGGGAUGGAGUUGAAACCAGACAGAAAACCAAAGCCAAAUCCAAUAACAACAUUAGGAUCUUUCAAACAGAAAACCAACAGAAAGACACCAAGUAAUACUAAACAAUACUUGAAACCCACUGAAGAAGCUCAGUAGUACCAGUUGAAUACCAAUAGUAUCAGAAAACACAUAAAAACUAAAGUAGAAAAUGGGCAAUAGCUUUUGGUUUCAAUCACUCAAGAAGAAAGUAAACUGAAGCUAUUUUUUGUGUGAGCUUAGCCUUACUCUCAAUUUUUCAGAUUGUUCUUCUCAACUCUUAAAUUCUUUCAACAGACCCUCCUUUUUUUUUUAGUUUUUGUUCUCUAAGAAUCUCCCCCCUUAAAUUAUCCGAAUGACCCUUAUUUAUCUACACCCAAGACCCUCUCCCCUCCCCUUUAAUUAUUACUCUAUCCUUUUAUCAUUACCUCUCCACUUAACUUUUACUUUAAUAACAGCCCCCCAAGUAUGCUCUUCUAUGUCUUCUUUUUACACUUUUUAUUAUUAAACUACUAUUCCUAAUUAUCAAUCAACCAAAAGCAGUCAAACAAUCUCAUUACCUAGUGGUCUCCCACUACUAAUUUAUUUAAGUUAAAGUAAAUUGGGGUCCUACUGGUCAUGAUACAUAGUCAAAUUCAGAUUUCCUUAUCUUUACAUUCCUAAAAUACCCCUGAAAUCCCCUAACUACUACUGUUCUGAUUCAGGACAUCUGUAAGCAGAACCAACUUAGGAUUAUCUUAUCCUAAAAUUUAAUUAUCAGCAACAACCAGUCUUUAAUACAAUCAAACCAACUCCCAAACCUAAAUCUAUUGUAAUCAACAUUCAAACACAAAACUAUCCAUGAUUUCAUCCAAAAUGAACUGAUGAACAUGAUAACUAACUAAUCAAUCGUGUGUAAUUAUGAACAUCAAAUAACCAAGAUAGAUAAACAUGCAACUGAUUAAAACAGGACGUCAGUGAUUCAAAAGUUACCAUCUAAACAAAAUUUUAAUUAAUUAAGACAACUGACAAUUGCAAAUUACAAACAGGCUGGAUAUCAAGAGUGAUCUUAAUGAUUUUAUUAACAAAAGGUUAAGUUAUAUUGAUACUAGUCCUAAACAACAUACUGACUGUUUCAAAUAUACCCGAAUGAACUAGUCGACGAAGCUUAAAUAGACGAUUCUAUGUUAUAAUUGAUAACAAAUACUCAGGAAUUAACACACAGAUAAACAUGGAUUCGAAUGACUUUUAACGGAAACAAGGCUGACGAGAAACAUGGUUAAUUGACUAAAUUACUCGAGUCAAUUAUCUGGAUUAUACUAUAUACACUUAAACGAACAGAAAUCAACUCAACCAAAUAAAAGGUCUUCAUGAAGAAGAGAAGAUCUUUGUCAAAAUUUAAACAGAAAGAUAGUACAACUAUAUGAACAACUAAACUAAACAAAAAAUAGAAUGAAUGAAAGAAGAAGAAAAUCAC